UACAGAGGUCCCAAGCGUUGUUCGGAUUCACUGGGCGUAAAGGGUGCGUAGGCGGUCGGGUAAGUCUGAUGUGAAAUCUCCAAGCUCAACUUGGAAAUGGCAUCGGAUACUAUUCGGCUGGAGGAAUGGAGGGGAGACUGGAAUACUUGGUGUAGCAGUGAAAUGCGUAGAUAUCAAGUGGAACACCAGUGGCGAAGGCGAGUCUCUGGACAUUUCCUGACGCUGAGGCACGAAAGCCAGGGGAGCAAACGGG
rnacentral:rRNA from 1 species